ACUGUAAUAAAUUUUACUAACAAUAAAAUAUUUAAAAAAAAAUGAUUUUAUUUUAAAUACAAAAAUCGAAUAUGACACUAAUAUAAUACAUGGAAUACAACAAAAAUUGUAUUUAAAAUAAUAUUAGAAAUUACAUUAGAAAUGCCAUUGUAAAAACAAUAUUAAAUUAAAGAUUUUAAUAUUUUAGGAAAAAUAGAAAUUUACUCAAGGCAAACACGGUGAGACAUCCUGUGCACACAUGGGAAGUGUAUUAUAACAUAUUUUAUAAACGAUGGAUUUUAUUAUACAUUGUGGAAUAUUAUUAUAUUAUUAUCACAAUAUUUAUGUCGUGGAAAAUAUAUAGUAUAUACCGUUCACGAGGUGCAUAAUUAUUAUGUAUAAUUAUGUCAUACGAAAAACCCGAGGAUACACAUAAAUAAUUAAGAACGUGCUGAAGACUGAAGUAGGAGUCUAAAUAUUAUCAAGGUAUGUAAAAUGCUGCUGCAGAACUUUCUGGCCUGAGACGCUGAUAUUGAACAUUUGAUACCUAAAUAUAAAUAUUUAUAAGAUUACUUUGUUUAAAUCAAGAAGCAGGGCGUUUAUUAUUUAUUACCAUUUUUUUGUUAACG